rnacentral:rRNA from 1 species
CUCAGGAUGAACGCUGGCGGCGUGCUUAACACAUGCAAGUCGAACGAAGCACUUUAUUACGAUUUCUUCGGAAUGACGAUUUAGUGACUGAGUGGCGGACGGGUGAGUAACGCGUGGGUAACCUGCCUUAUACAGGGGGAUAACAGUUAGAAAUGACUGCUAAUACCGCAUAAGCGCACAGGAUUGCAUGAUCUGGUGUGAAAAACUCCGGUGGUAUAAGAUGGACCCGCGUCUGAUUAGCUGGUUGGUGAGGUAACGGCCCACCAAGGCGACGAUCAGUAGCCGACCUGAGAGGGUGACCGGCCACAUUGGGACUGAGACACGGCCCAAACUCCUACGGGAGGCAGCAGUGGGGAAUAUUGGUCAAUGGGGGAAACCCUGAUGCAGCGACGCCGCGUGAGCGAAGAAGUAUUUCGGUAUGUAAAGCUCUAUCAGCAGGGAAGAAGAGAUGACGGUACCUGACUAAGAAGCACCGGCUAAAUACGUG